rnacentral:rRNA from 1 species
ACGGUGGAUGCCCUGGCAGUCAGAGGCGAUGAAGGACGUGCUAAUCUGCGAUAAGCGUCGGUAAGGUGAUAUGAACCGUUAUAACCGGCGAUUUCCGAAUGGGGAAACCCAGUGUGAUUCGUCACACUAUCAUUAACUGAAUCCAUAGGUUAAUGAGGCGAACCGGGGGAACUGAAACAUCUAAGUACCCCGAGGAAAAGAAAUCAACCGAGAUUCCCCCAGUAGCGGCGAGCGAACGGGGAGGAGCCCAGAGCCUGAAUCAGUGUGUGUGUUAGUGGAAGCGUCUGGAAAGGCGCGCGAUACAGGGUGACAGCCCCGUACACAAAAAUGCACAUGCUGUGAGCUCGAUGAGUAGGGCGGGACACGUGGUAUCCUGUCUGAAUAUGGGGGGACCAUCCUCCAAGGCUAAAUACUCCUGACUGACCGAUAGUGAACCAGUACCGUGAGGGAAAGGCGAAAAGAACCCCGGCGAGGGGAGUGAAAAAGAACCUGAAACCGUGUACGUACAAGCAGUGGGAGCACGCUUAGGCGUGUGACUGCGUACCUUUUGUAUAAUGGGUCAGCGACUUAUAUUCUGUAGCAAGGUUAACCGAAUAGGGGAGCCGAAGGGAAACCGAGUCUUAACUGGGCGUUAAGUUGCAGGGUAUAGACCCGAAACCCGGUGAUCUAGCCAUGGGCAGGUUGAAGGUUGGGUAACACUAACUGGAGGACCGAACCGACUAAUGUUGAAAAAUUAGCGGAUGACUUGUGGCUGGGGGUGAAAGGCCAAUCAAACCGGGAGAUAGCUGGUUCUCCCCGAAAGCUAUUUAGGUAGCGCCUCGUGAAUUCAUCUCCGGGGGUAGAGCACUGUUUCGGCAAGGGGGUCAUCCCGACUUACCAACCCGAUGCAAACUGCGAAUACCGGAGAAUGUUAUCACGGGAGACACACGGCGGGUGCUAACGUCCGUCGUGAAGAGGGAAACAACCCAGACCGCCAGCUAAGGUCCCAAAGUCAUGGUUAAGUGGGAAACGAUGUGGGAAGGCCCAGACAGCCAGGAUGUUGGCUUAGAAGCAGCCAUCAUUUAAAGAAAGCGUAAUAGCUCACUGGUCGAGUCGGCCUGCGCGGAAGAUGUAACGGGGCUAAACCAUGCACCGAAGCUGCGGCAGCGACGCUGAUGCGUUGUUGGGUAGGGGAGCGUUCUGUAAGCCUGCGAAGGUGUGCUGUGAGGCAUGCUGGAGGUAUCAGAAGUGCGAAUGCUGACAUAAGUAACGAUAAAGCGGGUGAAAAGCCCGCUCGCCGGAAGACCAAGGGUUCCUGUCCAACGUUAAUCGGGGCAGGGUGAGUCGACCCCUAAGGCGAGGCCGAAAGGCGUAGUCGAUGGGAAACAGGUUAAUAUUCCUGUACUUGGUGUUACUGCGAAGGGGGGACGGAGAAGGCUAUGUUGGCCGGGCGACGGUUGUCCCGGUUUAAGCGUGUAGGCUGGUUUUCCAGGCAAAUCCGGAAAAUCAAGGCUGAGGCGUGAUGACGAGGCACUACGGUGCUGAAGCAACAAAUGCCCUGCUUCCAGGAAAAGCCUCUAAGCAUCAGGUAACAUCAAAUCGUACCCCAAACCGACACAGGUGGUCAGGUAGAGAAUACCAAGGCGCUUGAGAGAACUCGGGUGAAGGAACUAGGCAAAAUGGUGCCGUAACUUCGGGAGAAGGCACGCUGAUAUGUAGGUGAAGCGACUUGCUCGUGGAGCUGAAAUCAGUCGAAGAUACCAGCUGGCUGCAACUGUUUAUUAAAAACACAGCACUGUGCAAACACGAAAGUGGACGUAUACGGUGUGACGCCUGCCCGGUGCCGGAAGGUUAAUUGAUGGGGUUAGCGCAAGCGAAGCUCUUGAUCGAAGCCCCGGUAAACGGCGGCCGUAACUAUAACGGUCCUAAGGUAGCGAAAUUCCUUGUCGGGUAAGUUCCGACCUGCACGAAUGGCGUAAUGAUGGCCAGGCUGUCUCCACCCGAGACUCAGUGAAAUUGAACUCGCUGUGAAGAUGCAGUGUACCCGCGGCAAGACGGAAAGACCCCGUGAACCUUUACUAUAGCUUGACACUGAACAUUGAGCCUUGAUGUGUAGGAUA